AUCGCAUGAUAAUCAAUUGAAAGGUGCAAAUGCAUCACUACCAGAUGGACCUGCGUUGUAUUAGCUAGUUGGUGGGGUAACGGCUCACCAAGGCGACGAUACAUAGCCGACCUGAGAGGGUGAUCGGCCACACUGGGACUGAGACACGGCCCAGACUCCUACGGGAGGCAGCAGUAGGGAAUCUUCGGCAAUGGACGGAAGUCUGACCGAGCAACGCCGCGUGAGUGAAGAAGGUUUUCGGAUCGUAAAGCUCUGUUGUAAGAGAAGAACGAGUGUGAGAGUGGAAAGUUCACACUGUGACGGUAUCUUACCAGAAAGGGACGGCUAACUACGUGCCAGCAGCCGCGGUGAUACGUAGGGUGCGAGCGUUGUCCGGAUUUAUUGGGCGUAAAGCGAGCGCAGGCGGUUAGAUAAGUCUGAAGUUAAAGGCUGUGGCUUAACCAUAGUACGCUUUGGAAACUGUUUAACUUGAGUGCAAGAGGGGAGAGUGGAAUUCCAUGUGUAGCGGUGAAAUGCGCAGAGAUAUGGAGGAACACCAGUGGCGAAGGCGACUUUCUGGUCUGUAACUGACGCUGAUGUGCGAAAGCGUGGGGAUCAAACAGGAUUAGAUACCCUGGUAGUCCACGCCGUAAACGAUGAGUGCUAAGUGUUAGGGGGUUUCCGCCCCUUAGUGCUGCAGCUAACGCAUUAAGCACUCCGCCUGGGGAGUACGACCGCAAGGUUGAAACUCAAAGGAAUUGACGGGGGCCCGCACAAGCGGUGGAGCAUGUGGUUUAAUUCGAUGCAACGCGAAGAACCUUACCAAGGCUUGACAUAUACUGGACCGCAUCAGAGAUGGUGUUUCCCUUCGGGGCUGGUAUACAGGUGGUGC
rnacentral:rRNA from 1 species